CUGUAGCUCCCCUGCUCAGAAGAUUCAGAUGGGCUCCAUUUCUCUCCUUCUCAGUCUCCUUAUUUUACUUCAUGGGAAAAGGGUUCUGAAAACACUGUCUGGCCCACCCUCAGGUGUUCUGGGAAACAAUUUGAUUGAGAGAGUCCCAAAAAGUUUCCGUUUGUUAAUGUGUUAACAUUUGUUUUGAAAAUUCUGCUGAUUUUGGUCAUACUUUUUGGUCUCCAACAGCACUUGAGUUUAUUUAUGAUUAGUUUCAGUCAGCAUAGUCAGCCAAAUUUCUUUCUAUUACACAUCAGCAUGUCUUAUUAUUUAAUCAUGUGUGCUGUGUGUUGUUUACAACGAUUGCUUUUCACUUAGUUCCUUACAUUCUCACGCGUGAAAUCGAAUUGAAUCGCAAGGACCAUUUUGCUUGCCCGUAUGAUGUGCUUUUCCCCCACAGAUUUGCAUGGACUAAAGUGACAUUGAAACAGCUGUUGCCAAUUCCCUAUCACCUCUUCCCUCCCCAAAUUAAUUGCUAAACUCGCCCCAGAACUAGAGUUAGAAGGAACUGGAAGUUGUCCUUAGCACGGCCUUCGGACAGGGGACCUCUCGACCAAAGGACAUCCACCUUGUUGCUGCUGCUCCUCUCCGCUGUUCACCUACUGUGGGAAAAAGACACAAAUCACAACGCUAUCAACAGAAUUGCUAAAGACACGGGGGACACGCCCGAUGCAGCUGCAUGAUGCUACAACCCAGCAGGCCCGGCAUAGCGUGAGAGACAGCCCAGCAAGCAGCCAUCACAGCUGAACCCUGCUCCGGUAGAGCUAAAGGAAAGAACACUGCUCGGAAAGAGCCGAACGAAAAAUCAAACAUUGACCUCCAUGAGUGAAUCAACUGCUGUGUUAGUUUGCCCCGGUGCUCAUAGUUAGCCUUUAGCCUAAAUCCUAGCCCUUUUAUUUUUCCAAUAGGGCCGUAGUGAUAGUGUAUUGUCAAAACUGAAUUUAUAAUAAAGAACCUUUGAUUGUA